GGGACUUGUCUUGCCAUCGCAUACUAAAAUAUUGGAACCAUACAGAGAUUAGCAUGGUCUCUGCGCAAGGAUGAUAUGUAAACCUGUGAAGCAUUUCUUUAUUUA